GUAUAAGAGACAGCAGCCGCCGCGGUAAUACAGAGGGUGCGAGCGUUAAUCGGAUUUACUGGGCGUAAAGCGUGCGUAGGCGGCUUUUUAAGUCGGAUGUGAAAUCCCUGAGCUUAACUUAGGAAUUGCAUUCGAUACUGGGAAGCUAGAGUAUGGGAGAGGAUGGUAGAAUUCCAGGUGUAGCGGUGAAAUGCGUAGAGAUCUGGAGGAAUACCGAUGGCGAAGGCAGCCAUCUGGCCUAAUACUGACGCUGAGGUACGAAAGCAUGGGGAGCAAACAGGAUUAGAUACCCGGGUAGUCCCUGUCUCUUAUAC
rnacentral:rRNA from 1 species